rnacentral:rRNA from 1 species
CCCUUAGAUGCUCUGGGCCGCACGCGCGCUACACUGGUCGAUGCAACGAGUUUCUUUCCUUGGCCGACAGGCCUAGGCAAUCUUUGAACAUCGAUCGUGAUCGGGAUAGAUUCUUGUAAUUUUUGAUCUUAAACGAGGAAUUCCUAGUAAACGCAAGUCAUCAGCUUGCAUUGAUUACGUCCCUGCCCUUUGUACACACCGCCCGUCGCACCUACCGAUUGAAGAGUUAGGUGAAUUGUUUUGAUCGAUAAGAUUUGACUAUGGUCAACUCUCGUUGUGAAAUUCUGUGAAUCUGACUGUUUAGAGGAAGGAAAAGUCGUAACA